rnacentral:lncRNA from 1 species
AUUGGAGCUUCGGCCAGAUCCACGACCAGAUGAUCAAACUGACCGAACUGAAGCUCGUCUUUCCCAGCCAAUUCAACAUUCUAAGACUGAUAGUCGAGCCAGAUUCAACUUGGGACGAGAAGAAUCCGAAGAUGUUCACAUAUUUUCUCUUAUGGCCUUUUUGGUGCGUCCUGCGUGUCUCGAAGGCUGUCCUAAAGUUCUUGCUUCAGUGUCCGAGCCUAUGAUGGAAUUUUAUCUUUCAUAUUUCACUAAGGCAUGGAUACUUGAGCUGUGCAAGGACUUGUUUCACAACAGUACACAACUUGGUUCAGCAGAUCGUCCGAUAGUUCAGUCCGUUCGUGUUAAUCAGCCGACAGGCCGUGUGGAUCGUCCUGAUCAUGUCCUGAUCCUUACACCAAGUACCAGCACGACCAGAAUGAACCUGGACAGAAGAGGAGAAGUCACUUUCACCAGUCUUCAUGAAUUUCACCAACUUUGACUCCCUUUAUUAUUUUCUAGUCAAUGUUGUCUUUUCCUAGGUUUGUAUUUUCCAUAAUUGUUUAUGGCUUUCUUUGACUACAAAUCCUAUAUAUAUGGCUCAUAAGCCACGAAAUAAAUCAGAUUGUUUUCCCCUUUGUAUAAGUUUCUCUCUUUGUUCUUUGUUAGAACAUUUCUUAGUUUCUUGGUGAGGUUAUCUCCAAGUUUCAAUCCUUCUUUUGUUGGACCGGUGCGUCACAUCCGGCCACGAUCGAAGUCUGGUAGUAUCUUUGGGCUAUUCCGCAACCCUUAGUGUCACCGUUCAUACCAUCAGUUCUCGAUCCUCUCGGAUCUGAGUUCAUAUCAACCUUACCGAAAGAGUGAUCCUUAUUUUGGUUCUAUCAAGUGGUAUCAGAGCCACUCUUCCAGUAUUGUCUAUUUCAUUCAUCUUUCUCAUCUUCUAUUUUCUUAUAAAAACUUCUUCUUCUACCUUUCUUAAAUCCGGGCCCCUCAUUACCAUCCACCAUAUCAAAAAAAAAAAAAAUCUAAUCAAAAAAAAAAAAGAAAGAAAGAUCCACAUAAAAAAAAAAAUAGAAAUCGAAAGUUUCAUUUGGGGAUUGGUGGUGGAAGAGAAAGCCUGCUGGCUGAGGAGAAAUCCAGCCUUUGAGGUGGUUAAAACGGAUUUCAAAAAUCAAAAAUCUCUUAUCUAUCUAUCUUGAGAAAAACCCUUUGUUUGCUUUGGAUCUACCCAUUGAGAUUCUUGAUUUGUUCUUUUAGAACCUUUUGAGAAGAAACUUGAGUGAUUACCAUAAAAUCUGAGAGAAACACUUGAGUGGGUGAGAUUAAACACUUGAGAGAGUGUGAGAAUUUUUAUCUAACUUUUUUGUUGAGAAUUUUCAGGUUAUGAUGUUUGGCCUCCAAAAGAAAAGUAACAAGGAGAAGCACCCACGACUUUCUGUCUCUCAAACCUCCUUUAAAUAUGCUUUGAAUACUUUUGAUGAGUUUGUUGAUGUGCAGAAAAAACCAAACAGGUGGAGCAAAGAGCAUGUCAAUACCUCCAAAGAUGUGGCUGAUCCAAAAAUGCAACCUUUUCAGUUUGAUGUCCAAGGAUUUUGUGAUAACUUUGUGAAGGGAGUUGACAAAGCCCUCAAGGAUAUCAGAAAGAGCCCAAAGAAGAGCAUAUCCACCCGUGCCCCAGUAGCUGAGCCAUCCUUGUUCAUCAGUUUGAAAACCCAAGGUGAAUCUGUAAACUGUCUUGAAAAACUUAAAGAUUUUUCAGAUUCUAUACCCAUUUUUGAUGAAUCUCAUGAAGAACCAAUUGAAAGCUUGAUAAUUUGUGAGCAAAGCUGUGAUCUUUCUUCUCUUGAACCUGAGUUUAUGGUCGAUAAUGAACAGGCUAUUGUAGAACUAACUGUUUUGCAACCGGAGCAUUCGAGUAGCUUUGAUUUGUUUCAGCAGGUUUUUAAGGAAGAGCCACUGAAUUUUCCACAUCAGUGCCCGUGUCUUGACACUUGGAUAUCUUUGGAUGAUGGUCCAGAUCCUAUGUUUGAUGAGGAGGACGAAUCUGGUCCAGUAUUUGAUGAUGAAGAAACAAGCAUCAUGUCCACCUUCAUGAAGAGCCAACUAUGCUUUGAUUCCAGCACAUCUCCUGCCCCUUUGUCUUCUGAACUUCAAGAGUACUGUGAGGAACCUUCUUUUCUUAAUUCUCUACCUGACAUGUUUGUCAAGAUCAGUACUCAAGAUGUGAUUCGUUUUGGCCUUGACAAAAUGAAAGAAUUUUGUGUUUCAAAAUCUGUUUUUGAUAACAUGAUUAAUUCUUUUAAGGUCUUUGAACCUGAUAAAUUUCUUGAUCAACCACGUUUUCAAAAUUUCAAUGGCAUUAAUUCUGGAUUUAUCUUGUGUUUUGAUCAGUUCUUAGAAGAUAGCCAUGGUUUUGAUUAUUUUGAAAAGUGUCUUGAGCUUGAUUUGAAACAAACUGUUUUCUGUUCUAAUAAAUCUUUUGAUUCAUUUGUUUUCAAAGAAAAUAGCUUUGAUCUUAACUCUUCUAGACAUAGACUGAUCACUGAUCAUUUGUUGCCAUCCUCUUGUGCCUAGAACAAAAUACUGAUUCAGAAGUUGCUGGAAAAUAAAUCACUUAAAACUGAAAAUGAUUUUUGUGAUCUUGAUUUUUGUGAUUUUAUUUCGCAGCCUUAUCUUGUGUGUUCUAAAUAUGAUAAAACUUGGCAUCUUCUGAAAUCAUUUCGUGAUCAAUGUGUUGUCUUCAGCCUUGAUGAUAUAGUGGUGUACAACACUUUCUUUGAAAACUACCUUGAAUCUUUGAUAUUUGAUUCCAAAUCUGAACUUAAGCUUGUGUGUUCAGAUGUUGAUAAUGAUAUGCAUGUUUUGGAAAUGAUUAAUGUUGUUGCAUAUCUUGAUAAGAUUCUUGUCUGUAAUGUCUACUUUGAUUUGCAUCUUGACAGGCUGAAAAGUGUGCUACUUGUUCUUGGAAAUGAUAUCUUAAUUUUUGAUUUGAACAAGUAUCUCUCUUGCACAUUUGAUCCUGGUCUUUUAGUUUUUGUUUUGAGUAUCCAGGAAAGACAGGUUCAGCCUCUGAAUGAAAGAAUUGGCCGUGCCCAACAACCUCAGAUUUGGAGAAGCUUUGUUGUUCAAACCGGCUACCUUGGUGCCAGCGACAGAGAUUCAGUCCAAGAAGGAUAUCUCAACAGUCCGAAGGUCUUUUGUCUUGAAUCCAAUUGUACUCGAAAUCCAACUCUUCAAGGAUUCACUGAGGCUUGGAAUCGCAUGAAAAUCUUCACGGAUGAAGAAGUUAUGAAUUUUCCAAACCAGAGGUUAUUCAGUCUGUCUAUCUGCGAUUACCAGAUUUCUAAAGGAUAUUCAUGCCCCAUAAAGAAGCGGCCUGAGCCAAAACCGAUCAUAGGGUUCCAGGUGGAUCUCCCAGCUUCUCAGAAAGACCGAAAUCAGAAGGAAUGGCCAUGGGGUUCUGAAGUUAUGAUCCAUCCACCAAAACCUGCCAGACCAAAGACAGCACUGCCUUCUUCAUUCAGCCAACAAACCAGAGAAAACCCAACAAAAGAGGCAGCAAAGUGUUCACCACAUGAAAAACAGUUGGAGCUAAUGAUCCUCCAUGACCCAAAUGUGUUUCCUCAGUCAACUUCUUGUCCAAAACAAAAACACUGUAAGGAUCAUGAGUUGAUUGCCUCCACUCUUCAUGAAAAUGUUUUGAAACCGAGAAUUUCAAAGAGAAAACAUAUUCUUACUUGGUUGAAAAACGUUUUGCUCAAACCUUUACAUGAAUUGAUUUCAUUGAGCUGUGCUUUGAAAGAGAUUUGGUGUAGGAAAGAGCAUGAACUAAAAUUGCUUAGGCCAAAGAAUUCUUUUGAUUUCAUUCAUGAUUUUUCAAAUUUGGCAUUGUCUCUUUCUUUCCAUAACAGUUUCUCACCUUGGCCUGAUUUUGAGAUUGAUAAAUCAAUUUUUGGCAACCAGCUUACUUGCUUAAUGCUUGCCCACGUCCUUGAUGAUUAUCCUAAGUGUUUGGAUCCUGUUUUUGGUGUCUUAAGGAUAGAUAAACCCUUUGAUUAUUCCUUUACCAGAUUUGAUGUGGUUUCUCUAGUUGCUUUGAAUAAACAGGAUAAGCAUGAUCAGUUUCCAAGGAGAGCAAGCACCAAUGGACGCCAAAGUACUUGGAAUUCCGAGAUGAAAAUGGCUUCAAAACUCCAAGGAAGUUUCUGUCCAUAUUUUUCAUUCCCUGAAUUUUCCAUGAAUUUUAAUUCCUUUGUAUCUGAUUCAUCUCUUUUUGAUAUAGGUACUUUGGAUUUGAGGACAAAUCCUUUUGAAGAGGGAGAGUAUGAUGUGCCCCAGCCUAUGGACCAGUUCGAGGAAUCAGACCAGCAUGAAGAUCAGAACGUUCCAGACGUCCCAAUUGAGGUUCACUCUUCCGACCAGACCAUACAAACCGAUCGGGCCGUGUACCGGAUCGACCCGCGAACGUUUGGAUUGGAGCUUCGGCCAGAUCCACGACCAGAUGAUCAAACUGACCGAACUGAAACUCGUCUUUCCCAGCCAAUUCAACAUUCUAAGACUGAUAGUCGAGCCAGAUUCAACUUGGGACGAGAAGAAUCCGAAGAUGUUCACAUAUUUUCUCUUAUGGCCUUUUUGGUGCAUCCUGCGUGUCUCGAAGGCUGUCCUAAAGUUCUUGCUUCAGUGUCCGACCCUAUGAUGGAAUUUUAUCUUUCAUAUUUCACUAAGGCAUGGAUACUUGAGCUGUGCAAGGACUUGUUUCACAACAGUACACAACUUGGUUCAGCAGAUCGUCCGAUAGUUCAGUCCGUUCGUUUUAAUCAGCCGACAGGCCGUGUGGAUCGUCCUGAUCAUGUCCUGAUCCUUACACCAAGUACCAGCACGACCAGAAUGAACCUGGACAGAAGAGGAGAAGUCACUUUCACCAGUCUUCAUGAAUUUCACCAACUUUGACUCCCUUUAUUAUUUUCUAGUCAAUGUUGUCUUUUCCUAGGUUUGUAUUUUCCAUAAUUGUUUAUGGCUUUCUUUGACUACAAAUCCUAUAUAUAUGGCUCAUAAGCCACGAAAUAAAUCAGAUUGUUUUCC